UGCAUCGACCGGGAAUCGAACCCGGGCCACCCGCUUAGGGCGAGCAUUCUACCACUGAACCACCGAUGG
rnacentral:tRNA from 1 species